GGGUCAGUAGGUUGGUCGUGCCACCGGUACGUACUGGUCUCACUGAUUUCUCCUUCCUGAAGAACCGUAAUGCAUUAAUUUGGUGUUGCGGGGAAACAGGACUGUUACUUUGAAAAAAUUAGAGUGUUUAAAGCAAGCUAACGCUUGAAUACAUUAGCAUGGAAUAAUGAAAUAGGACGAUCGAUCCUAUUUUGUUGGUUUCUAGGAUUGACGUA
rnacentral:rRNA from 1 species